AGUAAGUUAUUGCCAGGGUUUUUAUUUUAUACUUUAAACAUUGAUUUUAUUUUUUAUGUUUUUAGAUGUUCAUGUUUUUGAAUGUUUUAUGCAAAUAAUAUAAAAAAAAAUAUAUAUUGACAUGGAUUAAACAAAGAUAUAUAUUAUUCUAUGUUGUAUAAACAAAUUGGCAAAAUAGAGAUGGAAGAUAAAAAUAUGGCCAA
rnacentral:rRNA from 1 species